AUCGACGGGGAGGUUUGGCACCUCGAUGUCGGCUCAUCGCAUCCUGGGGCUGAAGUAGGUCCCAAGGGUUUGGCUGUUCGCCAAUUAAAGCGGUACGUGAGCUGGGUUUAGAACGUCGUGAGACAGUUCGGUCCCUAUCUGCCGUGGGCGUAGGAUAAUUGAGAGGGUCUGUCCCUAGUACGAGAGGACCGGGAUGGACGGACCUCUAGUGCACCAGUUGUCACGCCAGUGGCAUGGCUGGGUAGCUAUGUCCGGAAGGGAUAACCACUGAAAGCAUCUAAGUGGGAAGCCUGCCUCAAGAAUAGUUAUCCCGUCUGGUAGCAAUACCAGGCUAAGACCCCACGAAGACCACGUGGUUGAUAGGCUGAUGGUGUAAGCGUAGUGAUACGUUGAGCCUACCAGUACUAAUAGGUCGAGCGCUUGACCAU
rnacentral:rRNA from 1 species